CCGUGAAAAAAGAACAUUUGCGGAGGCAGAAGUUGAGGGCAGCCUUGGACACAGCUGAGCUCCCGAAGCUGAUGAUUAAACGGCAGGAAACUCCCUCACCCUCUCCUGUUAUGACUCCUGAAACUUAGUCCAGGAUAUCUGAAUCUAUGGAACGCGGGUGUUCGGUGUCACCUUGGAAUGUCAGGAAGACCACGAUCGAAGUUAAAGGAAUUCAAAUCACUGAUUAGGUAACGCGCUGUUUAGCAAGCAUUGUGAGCCAGACAGAGUUAGAAAGUAGCCAUUCUUGGCCUUUCCAAAGCUGAGUAACUGUGUGAAGGAUGCAUUUGAGUAGGAGAAAGCCAUCCAUUCGCCGUCUUCCUUGCCAAUUUUGUUUGCUUCAAAACAGAGUGUGAAAGCACUGAGCUCCGGAAUGGAGACACUUUUUGCAGUGGAUACCUGACACCCCAUACCUUACUCAUGUUCCCUACCAGGACGGUCAUUCAGGAACAAAGGAAAGGACAAUUCCUCUGAGGAGAGGGAGUCUAAUACAACAAACUACAAACAUGGAAUUUUAAGCUGUAUUUCUGGACUACAGCAUUUUAUUUCCUUGAUGUUUGAGCUCGUGGUUGGGAGGGCAGAAGAUGGAACUCCCAUCCCAGCUCUUCCACUGUGCCAUGUGACCUUGGAUAUGUUCCUCACUUUGCUCUGCUCUAGUCUUUUCAUCUGCACAUUGAGGGACAAUGGCACCUAUGACACAGGUGCUCAACAGGAGUUAAGUAAGUUAAUACCUGCAAAGCACUAGGGAGGUGCUUCUGCAUAGUCUAUCUGUAGCUUGUAUUGAUUACUAAUAUAGAUUACUACUAUUAUAUGCAUAAAAAUCCAAAAUAAAAAUACACUAGCCUAUUCCUUCUGAACAUAUAUGAAAAUACUAAAUGAUACAAUGGAUUUUGCCCUAUGCUAAUACAAUAGACAUUGUGAAAGAUUAUGAACUAAUUUGAGAGAGAAGGAGCUCUCCUAAAAAAUACCGUUUAAUACUGGUUUCAUAUGAAGGCUAGUUCAAAUAUAUUUUAAUACAUACCAAAAUAGGUCUAUGGCAAAAACGUCAUUUUAAAAUAAAUAUUCUAGUUAAAAGUCCAUGAUGGAAUUUAAUAGAAUUAUGUAUUUUAGUGUACUUUUAUAAUAUCAAGCAGUUUACAGGUCUAUUGACCUAAAAUGAUCUUAUGCAGUAUGAACCCAGUGCUCUACACAUGUUGUUAAA